rnacentral:ncRNA from 1 species
CCAAAUGUAAGGAUUAGAAAUAGUAGAGGUGAAAGGACCUUUCAGAGAGCCGUUGGUUGGUGCGAAACGGCAGCGUCGAUCACUUUGAACUCGUCUAUGAACAGCUGCCCGACAUUGUAGGGUUAGACGGCUUCCCCCGUUACAGGGAUAGAUGGUGAUGGCCAUCGAAAGAGAUCAUUUCGUUAUGGAAUGAAUUAGAGUGGUACCGCGGGUUCAACCUCGUCUCUAUA